rnacentral:rRNA from 1 species
GACGAACGCUGGCGGCGUGCCUAAUACAUGCAAGUAGAACGCUGAAGGAGGAGCUUGCUUCUCUGGAUGAGUUGCGAACGGGUGAGUAACGCGUAGGUAACCUGCCUGGUAGCGGGGGAUAACUAUUGGAAACGAUAGCUAAUACCGCAUAAUAUUGACUAUUGCAUGAUAGUCAGUUGAAAGGUGCAACUGCACCACUACCAGAUGGACCUGCGUUGUAUUAGCUAGGUGGUGGGGUAACGGCUCAACAAGGCGACGAUACAUAGCCGACCUGAGAGGGGGGUCGGCCACCCUGGGACUGAGACACGGCCCAGACUCCUACGGGAGGCAGCAGUAGGGAAUCUUCGGCAAAGGACGGAAGUCUGACCGAGCAACGCCGCGGGAGUGAAGAAGGUUUUCGGAUCGUAAAGCUCUGUUGUAAGAGAAGAACGAGUGUGAGAGUGGAAAGCUCACACUGUGACGGUAUCUUACCAGAAAGGGACGGCUAACUACGUG